GAUGAACGCUGGCGGCGUGCCUAAUACAUGCAAGUCGAGCGAAUGGAUUAAGAGCUUGCUCUUAUGAAGUUAGCGGUGGACGGGUGAGUAACACGUGGGUAACCUGCCCAUAAGACUGGGAUAACUCCGAGAAACCGGGGCUAAUACCGGAUAACAUUUUGAACCGCAUGGUUCGAAAUUGAAAGGCGGCUUCGGCUGUCACUUAUGGAUGAACCCGCGUCGAAUUAGCUAGUUGGUGAGGUAACGGCUCACCAAGGCAACGAUGCGUAGCCGACCUGAGAGGGUGAUCGGCCACACUGGGACUGAGACACGGCCCAGACUCCUACGGGAGGCAGCAGUAGGGAAUCUUCCGCAAUGGACGAAAGUCUGACGGAGCAACGCCGCGUGAGUGAUGAAGGCUUUCGGGUCGUAAAACUCUGUUGUUAGGGAAGAACAAGUGCUAGUUGAAUAAGCUGGCACCUUGACGGUACCUAACCAGAAAGCCACGGCUAACUACGUGCCAGCAGCCGCCGUAA
rnacentral:rRNA from 1 species